UUUUUUAAUUGAAAGCUGGUAUGAAUGGUUGGACGAGAUAUUAACUGUUUCAAAUAUAUUUAUAUUAGAAUUUUAUUUUUUAGUUAAAAAGCUAAAAUUUUUUUAAAAGACGAGAAGACCCUAUAAAUCUUUAUAUUUAAAAUUAUAAUAAUUAAUUUUGAAAAUUUUUAUUAUUAUAGUUAAUAAUAUUUUAUUGGGGUGAUAUUAAAAUUUAAUAAACUUUUAAUUAUUUAAAUCAUUAAUUUAUGUUUUUUUGAUCCAUUAUUAAUGAUUAAAAAUUUAAGUUACUUUAGGGAUAACAGCGUAAUUUUUUUGGAGAGUUCUUAUUGAUAAAAAAGAUUGC
rnacentral:rRNA from 1 species